GGGUUGUGAGGUUAAGCGACUAAGCGUACACGGUGGAUGCCCUGGCAGUCAGAGGCGAUGAAGGACGUGCUAAUCUGCGAUAAGCGUCGGUAAGGUGAUAUGAACCGUUAUAACCGGCGAUUUCCGAAUGGGGAAACCCAGUGUGUUUCGACACACUAUCAUUAACUGAAUCCAUAGGUUAAUGAGGCGAACCGGGGGAACUGAAACAUCUAAGUACCCCGAGGAAAAGAAAUCAACCGAGAUUCCCCCAGUAGCGGCGAGCGAACGGGGAGCAGCCCAGAGCCUGAAUCAGUGUGUGUGUUAGUGGAAGCGUCUGGAAAGGCGCGCGAUACAGGGUGACAGCCCCGUACACAAAAAUGCACAUGCUGUGAGCUCGAUGAGUAGGGCGGGACACGUGGUAUCCUGUCUGAAUAUGGGGGGACCAUCCUCCAAGGCUAAAUACUCCUGACUGACCGAUAGUGAACCAGUACCGUGAGGGAAAGGCGAAAAGAACCCCGGCGAGGGGAGUGAAAAAGAACCUGAAACCGUGUACGUACAAGCAGUGGGAGCACGCUUAGGCGUGUGACUGCGUACCUUUUGUAUAAUGGGUCAGCGACUUAUAUUCUGUAGCAAGGUUAACCGAAUAGGGGAGCCGAAGGGAAACCGAGUCUUAACUGGGCGUUAAGUUGCAGGGUAUAGACCCGAAACCCGGUGAUCUAGCCAUGGGCAGGUUGAAGGUUGGGUAACACUAACUGGAGGACCGAACCGACUAAUGUUGAAAAAUUAGCGGAUGACUUGUGGCUGGGGGUGAAAGGCCAAUCAAACCGGGAGAUAGCUGGUUCUCCCCGAAAGCUAUUUAGGUAGCGCCUCGUGAAUUCAUCUCCGGGGGUAGAGCACUGUUUCGGCAAGGGGGUCAUCCCGACUUACCAACCCGAUGCAAACUGCGAAUACCGGAGAAUGUUAUCACGGGAGACACACGGCGGGUGCUAACGUCCGUCGUGAAGAGGGAAACAACCCAGACCGCCAGCUAAGGUCCCAAAGUCAUGGUUAAGUGGGAAACGAUGUGGGAAGGCCCAGACAGCCAGGAUGUUGGCUUAGAAGCAGCCAUCAUUUAAAGAAAGCGUAAUAGCUCACUGGUCGAGUCGGCCUGCGCGGAAGAUGUAACGGGGCUAAACCAUGCACCGAAGCUGCGGCAGCGACGCUGAUGCGUUGUUGGGUAGGGGAGCGUUCUGUAAGCCUGCGAAGGUGUGCUGUGAGGCAUGCUGGAGGUAUCAGAAGUGCGAAUGCUGACAUAAGUAACGAUAAAGCGGGUGAAAAGCCCGCUCGCCGGAAGACCAAGGGUUCCUGUCCAACGUUAAUCGGGGCAGGGUGAGUCGACCCCUAAGGCGAGGCCGAAAGGCGUAGUCGAUGGGAAACAGGUUAAUAUUCCUGUACUUGGUGUUACUGCGAAGGGGGGACGGAGAAGGCUAUGUUGGCCGGGCGACGGUUGUCCCGGUUUAAGCGUGUAGGCUGGUUUUCCAGGCAAAUCCGGAAAAUCAAGGCUGAGGCGUGAUGACGAGGCACUACGGUGCUGAAGCAACAAAUGCCCUGCUUCCAGGAAAAGCCUCUAAGCAUCAGGUAACAUCAAAUCGUACCCCAAACCGACACAGGUGGUCAGGUAGAGAAUACCAAGGCGCUUGAGAGAACUCGGGUGAAGGAACUAGGCAAAAUGGUGCCGUAACUUCGGGAGAAGGCACGCUGAUAUGUAGGUGAAGUCCCUUGCGGAUGGAGCUGAAAUCAGUCGAAGAUACCAGCUGGCUGCAACUGUUUAUUAAAAACACAGCACUGUGCAAACACGAAAGUGGACGUAUACGGUGUGACGCCUGCCCGGUGCCGGAAGGUUAAUUGAUGGGGUUAGCGCAAGCGAAGCUCUUGAUCGAAGCCCCGGUAAACGGCGGCCGUAACUAUAACGGUCCUAAGGUAGCGAAAUUCCUUGUCGGGUAAGUUCCGACCUGCACGAAUGGCGUAAUGAUGGCCAGGCUGUCUCCACCCGAGACUCAGUGAAAUUGAACUCGCUGUGAAGAUGCAGUGUACCCGCGGCAAGACGGAAAGACCCCGUGAACCUUUACUAUAGCUUGACACUGAACAUUGAGCCUUGAUGUGUAGGAUAGGUGGGAGGCUUAGAAGUGUGGACGCCAGUCUGCAUGGAGCCGACCUUGAAAUACCACCCUUUAAUGUUUGAUGUUCUAACGUUGACCCGUAAUCCGGGUUGCGGACAGUGUCUGGUGGGUAGUUUGACUGGGGCGGUCUCCUCCUAAAGAGUAACGGAGGAGCACGAAGGUUGGCUAAUCCUGGUCGGACAUCAGGAGGUUAGUGCAAUGGCAUAAGCCAGCUUGACUGCGAGCGUGACGGCGCGAGCAGGUGCGAAAGCAGGUCAUAGUGAUCCGGUGGUUCUGAAUGGAAGGGCCAUCGCUCAACGGAUAAAAGGUACUCCGGGGAUAACAGGCUGAUACCGCCCAAGAGUUCAUAUCGACGGCGGUGUUUGGCACCUCGAUGUCGGCUCAUCACAUCCUGGGGCUGAAGUAGGUCCCAAGGGUAUGGCUGUUCGCCAUUUAAAGUGGUACGCGAGCUGGGUUUAGAACGUCGUGAGACAGUUCGGUCCCUAUCUGCCGUGGGCGCUGGAGAACUGAGGGGGGCUGCUCCUAGUACGAGAGGACCGGAGUGGACGCAUCACUGGUGUUCGGGUUGUCAUGCCAAUGGCACUGCCCGGUAGCUAAAUGCGGAAGAGAUAAGUGCUGAAAGCAUCUAAGCACGAAACUUGCCCCGAGAUGAGUUCUCCCUGACUCCUUGAGAGUCCUGAAGGAACGUUGAAGACGACGACGUUGAUAGGCCGGGUGUGUAAGCGCAGCGAUGCGUUGAGCUAACCGGUACUAAUGAACCGUGAGGCUUAACCUUACAACGCCGAAGCUGUU
rnacentral:rRNA from 1 species